rnacentral:rRNA from 1 species
GACGAACGCUGGCGGCGUGCUUAACACAUGCAAGUCGAACGAUGAACCCGGAGCUUGCUCCGGCGGAUUAGUGGCGAACGGGUGAGUAACACGUGAGUAACCUGCCCUUGACUCUGGGAUAACUGCGGGAAACUGUAGCUAAUACCGGAUACGACCCUCGGCGGCAUCGCCAGGGGGUGGAAAGAAUUUCGGUCAAGGAUGGACUCGCGGCCUAUCAGAUAGUUGGUUAGGUAACGGCUCACCAAGGCGACGACGGGUAGCCGGCCUGAGAGGGUGACCGGCCACACUGGGACUGAGACACGGCCCAGACUCCUACGGGAGGCAGCAGUGGGGAAUAUUGCACAAUGGGCGCAAGCCUGAUGCAGCAACGCCGCGUGAGGGAUGGCGGCCUUCGGGUUGUAAACCUCUUUUAGUAGGGAAGAAGCGAAAGUGACGGUACCUGCAGAAAAAGCACCGGCUAACUACGUGCCAGCCGCCGCGGUAAAAC